rnacentral:rRNA from 1 species
UACGUAGGGGGCAAGCGUUAUCCGGAUUUACUGGGUGUAAAGGGAGCGUAGACGGCAAUACAAGUCGGAAGUGAAAUACCCGGGCUCAACCUGGGAACUGCUUUGGAAACUGUAUGGCUGGAGUGCUGGAGAGGUAAGCGGAAUUCCUAGUGUAGCGGUGAAAUGCGUAGAUAUUAGGAGGAACACCAGUGGCGAAGGCGGCUUACUGGACAGUAACUGACGUUUAGGCUCGAAAGCGUGGGGAGCAAACAGG